UUCAGUUUCUAGCCACCCCAAUAGACUAACCCUCGACAUUGGUAUGGCCUAACCUUCACUUCUACUACCACUGCUGGCUGCACUGUCAGUAUUGGAUGUGGGAGAAGGGAAAGAUGUCAACUUCGAGGAGCAUUAUUGUAGAUCAAAGUUGCACAAGUAAUUUAUCAAGUUCCUUGGCCCUGUAAGUUCCGCUGUCUGUUCCUCCUCAGAUUCAAAGUGAAAAAAGGAAACAUUCAAUCAAUUGACAUCUUUUUGUAAUUUGUGCUAGCACACAACAACCUGCACAUUUAUUAUCUAUUUCUAGAUUGGCUGAAACUUUGAAUCAUACUAGUUAGUAUCUAUUUCUAGAUUGCACAUUUAUUAGUAGA